GAUGAACGCUGGCGGCGUGCCUAAUACAUGCAAGUCGAGCGAACGGGCGAGAAGCUUGCUUCUCUGAUGUUAGCGGCGGACGGGUGAGUAACACGUGGAUAACCUACCUAUAAGACUGGGAUAACUUCGGGAAACCGGAGCUAAUGCCGGAUAAUAUUUUGAACCGCAUGGUUCAAAAGUGAAAGACGGUCUUGCUGUCACUUAUAGAUGGAUCCGCGCUGCAUUAGCUAGUUGGUAAGGUAACGGCUUACCAAGGCAACGAUGCAUAGCCGACCUGAGAGGGUGAUCGGCCACACUGGAACUGAGACACGGUCCAGACUCCUACGGGAGGCAGCAGUAGGGAAUCUUCCGCAAUGGGCGAAAGCCUGACGGAGCAACGCCGCGUGAGUGAUGAAGGUCUUCGGAUCGUAAAACUCUGUUAUUAGGGAAGAACAUAUGUGUAAGUAACUGUGCACAUCUUGACGGUACCUAAUCAGAAAGCCACGGCUAACUACGUG
rnacentral:rRNA from 1 species